GAGUUUCCCAACAAUUUGGAUGGUGGCAAAGAGUGCGUUCUUUCUUCACACGGAUAGACCGACCUCCGACUCCCGUGAGUGUCCGCUGGGCGUGGUGUGCCAUGACCCCCGCCCUGCUUCCCCUCGCCCCCUCGCCUCCUUAUCCAAAGCCACCACGGCUAUGCCACAAACCCAGCCCCGCGCGCCCGCUCUACCGGUGCGACGCCACACGCCGCGACUUCGCUGUCUACACCGCCUCCGCUGCCGCAGCCGCAAUGAGCCCCGCCGCCGCUACUGCGGCAGAUGAGGCGCUCCCUUCGGCGUCACCCUCACCGACGCCUCACCCUCCAAACGGCGGGGCUACCUCGUUGCUGGUCGGCAUCGCAAACACGAGGUCGUGGUCGCAGUACUACGGCAGCGGCUUCUCCAUCCGCGUGCCGCCGUCCUUCGAUGACAUCUUGGAGCCCGAGGAUUUCAGCGCCGCCAUGACCUAUUAUGGCGACAAGGCCAAGGUCAGGGCGUACGCAGCUCGGUUCGCAUCUCCAGAUAGGUUAGAACUUGUAAGCGUGGUAAUCAAGCCAUCUAAUCAGCUCAAGAUCACAUUCCUAGAGGCCAAAGAUAUAACAGAGUUGGGCACUCUAAAGGAGGCGUCCAAGUUAUUUGUACCUGGCGGUGCAAAAAUAUACUCAGCUCGAACAAUUAAAGUUAAGGAUCAGGAGGGUAUCAGGUUAUUUCUCUCAAUUUUCAAGGGAAUAUUACAAAAGGCAAUGGCUUCUGUAGUUAAAUUGCUUUAUGAGAUAAUAUUUUGCAGGACGUAUUACUUCUAUGAAUUUCGUUUUGACAGACAACAUGUUGCUCUAAUGGCCACCGUGGAUAGUGGGAAGGGAAAGGCUGCGUACUAUAGACCCAAAGUGGUCGGACCCUUCCCCGACCCUGCGCAAGCGGGAGCUACAUGCACCGGGCUGCCCUUUUCAUCAUGCAUUUUGUGUUGCUACUUUCUUUAGUCCUUGCAGCUGUAUUCUAGAUUCUUAAACUAUAAAUUUAUAUCCUACUAAUGUCCCCAAGCAUUCAUCCAUUUGUUCGUUCCUUCUUGAAUAUGGCGUGAACCGAUAAACACAAAAACAAUGCAUGAGUCGUUUGGAGGCAUCACACCUACUCUACUCCCAGGCAUUAUUUCUCGCGCUUACAUAUAUCGCUGCCGCCACUGCUCCAGAGACGAGGUGGGAGACGGAUGGAGUGACAUUGCGCUCGGCUGCUGUAUCUAUGUCUCUCGCAUGAUCUAAAUGCUCUUAUAUUAUGGGACAGAGGGAGUACUAUUUAUAUAUUAUAGAACUACGGUAUUACAGCAUCUUGAGUAGAGUUAUCCGGUUUUUUUCUCUAAAAUUGAACCCCAGAUGUCUGACCUUCAGCUUGAAGUCGAUCAAGAAUAUUAAAUUUACAAUUUA